AGCAAAGUCUUGAAAUAGUGUCAGGGCUGUUAGGCAGUCUUGUCGUGGUGGUGGAAAGCUGUUAGCAUUUGGAGUGUUUGCUUGGACAUUUGCAAUGUGGAGUAGAGUCCAGCUGUGAUUUUUCCAUUUCCCCAAUAUCCUCAUUUUAAUAAGGUGGCCAGCACGGGGGAUGACUUCUUAGAUGCUAGUGCACAGCAUUACAUUAUUUGAUAUAAGCAUUCUUCUCCCACCCACCUAUUUUCCACAUAUAUGGAGCACUCCAAACAUUCUUAGAAGAUUGAAUUCUGUGACACACUGCAGAAGGAAACACCAUCUAAAUUAUGAGCAGGAAACAAGCAGUUCUNUCAGCUAACAUGGCAAAUAAUUCAUGGUGGAGAUGGACUCAGCAGCAUUUGAAAGGGAAUCUACACAUCCCAGCAGCUAGAAACAUCAAGUCAUUUCUACCAAAACUUUCUACUGUCCAGGCAGUUGUGUGCUUUAGCAUUCUGUUAGUGAAGUCCUAGCUGGCAUAAGUUCACCUGGACUGACAACUGAAUCUAUUUUCAGUAGCUGCGGCAACACAAAAUCCUACCCUUCAACCAAGGUCAGCAUGCUAGCCAAGAUGGUCCAGGGCACAUCGUCAGAUGAAGAAGAGUGCCUGUUUUGCUAUACCUUUUUACUUUGCAG
rnacentral:lncRNA from 1 species